UGGCUCGGGGUUUCUUGUUUUCAGUUCUCGGUGAUCUCCAGCAGCAGGUGCUGGUUUGCCAACCUCCGCUCCAGAGGAGGCAAGGGAGAGGACAGGAGGGAAGGGGAGGAGGAAACCGCGCGCCGGCGUUGGCGGAGUUCGCUCUCUCUAGCUGAGCAGCGGCGUGGGCGGCGGCCCUGGCUUCCAGGGCAUGUUGCGAUGGCUGCUCAGAAGAGACUGCAAGAAUACAAGGUGCUGCUUUGUGUUCAGGAAUACAGAACAAACAGCAGCAAAGUGGAGUCAGGUGCAUGUAACAGCUACAUGGGCUUGAAGGAUCAGCCGGGGCAUGACCUAGGCCACCUUUAUGUGGAAAGCACUGACCCACAUUUAAGUACAUCUGAACUUUGGCCAAUGGUAGAAAAACCAACAAUGGAUAAAGUUAAUUCCGGGAAGGAAGAACAAGAGGUGUCUGAAGAGAAUGUGAGCUCUGGUGACUCUGAAGAAAGCACAAAUUCUGAUAAUGAAUCAGAACAAUUCAGUGGCAUUGCAGUAGAGUCAUGCUUAUUAACCAAGACUCACAGACAGCUACGUAGGUCUCCCUAUUUAGAGCCUCACAGGGUCAAACACAGUGAAAUUUUGCAAGACUUUAAACCCAAAGAGUCUCAGACUACAUCCAAGGAAGUGAAGAAACUCACGGAUGUAGUGCAAGAAUACCAAACAAAACUAGAGUUUGCACUUAAGUUAGGUUAUUGUGAAGAACAGGUUCAGCUUGUGCUAAACAAACUUGAUACCAAUGCUUUAUUCACUGAUAUUUUGAGACAACUUAUCAAACUCGGAAAUAAAAGUGAGGCCAAACAAAUGUUUUAUGAGGUAUAAUACAACAGUAUAAUGCGGGAAAUGUCUUCCUUUGAAUCUCAGCGGUCUGAAUCUCCAAUGCAAGAGAUUGUAACAGAUGAUGGAGAAAAUCUGAGACCAAUAGUAAUCGAUGGCAGCAAUGUGGCAAUGAGCCAUGGAAACAAAGAAGUAUUUUCCUGCCGAGGAAUAAAAUUGGCAGUGGAUUGGUUUUUGGAAAGAGGCCACAGAGAUGUUACAGUUUUUGUUCCUGCGUGGAGAAAAGAGCAGUCCCGUCCUGAUGCUCUCAUUACAGCUGAACAUCUAAAACUAAAAAAAAAAAAACCACCCUAACUGCACACCAGCACGUCUGAGCAUGGAUUCUGCGCAUAAGAGCUACCACAGGUCAGAACCCCAGGUGUCGGGCAGUGGACUCGGAGGAAUAAAGAAGUUGCAUCUCGCAGCCACCGGAGCUCCCUGCAGGAGGAGGGGUAGGGGUGAAGGUGCGGUGACUUCCCUGAUCAGCCUGCCUGGAAGUGCCGGAACUUCUAGCAGCCGGCACCAGGGCCAUCACUGGGGCAGAAAGCAGAGAAGUGGAAUGGGACAACAGAGAAACAACAGUUGAUUUUUACUGGCCCCAGUAACAAAACCAAGACUGAGCCACAGUUCCCAACUCCCAACCCAGAAGGCUCCUCUCUCCAUACCCUCCAAGACAGAUCACCACAGAACUCCAGGAAAAGUUGAGCAAAUGCUACCGAAACUGUUGCUAAUACUGACAGGAACUGAAACUGAGAGUAGCAAGUAUGAUUAAACAUCUACAAGAAAAGAAAAAAGACAUUUAGGCUUUAUAUAAAGCAAGGAUC